rnacentral:misc_RNA from 1 species
CCGAACUACCUGCACGAAAGCUGGCUCGACUAUCUCUACUGGGACACCGAACUCGACCCGUAGGAUUCCGGCUUAAUGGCCAGUCGCUCGCGGCGUUGCAGGGAGAGAAGUCACUCCCUGCUUUGAUACCGAGCUCGAUCCGUAAGCGUUCGCGCUCAGGCUUCCUGAUGGAACGGAUAAUCCGUGUAGCCCGCUUCCGCGCCG